rnacentral:lncRNA from 1 species
AUGACAGAACAAUGCAAUCAAAAGUGGUUUUCUAUCCCAAGAAGAGUAAAACAUUCAUUUAUUGCUCCCAAACAGACUAAAGCCUGUGGGUUUAGUGUCACAUCUCGCACAGCUCGGCCCUGGAGCGCUGCUGCCGCGGCCGAGCGCAGCCCCUGGGGCCGCUGUGCGGGUGCAUUUGAAGGGCUCGGACACAAUGGCAGCGCCGUGUGUCUUUGUGCUCCAGGUCUGCGCUGCCCGUGCGGGCGGAGCGGGGCUGGCGGGAGCCGCGCUCCCCUCAGAGCCCCUGAGGGCGGCAGCGAUGGCGGCGCCGCUCCCUCAGCGCCCGGCCCCGGCCCCGGCGGGCGGGGAGCCCUCGGCAGCGCCCGGCCGGCAGCGGGGAGCGAGCCCCGGCCCGGCCGCUGUGCCCGUGGCGCCGCAGAGGCGAGGGGAGAGCCGCAGGAGCCGCUGCCUCGGGCACUGCCCCGGGCCGGGGGCAGCAGCCGGGCCCGGCCCUGCGGCAGCGCAGGAGGCUCUGGCGGUGCCGCUUCUCCAGCUCGGCCCGGUGCCCGGGCACGGCCCCGGCCUUGGGGCUGCCCCUGCCCCGCUCAGCUGCCCGUGCCCUGCCCGGGCGCCGAGGCCGCGCUCGGUGCCCCCGGGUGCCGCUGCUGCGGGCAGGGCCGAGCCCCGGUGCCCGGGCACAGCCCUGAGGGACACCCCUGCUCCCCGGGCUGCCGCGGCUCCUGGAGCCGCUGCCCACGAGCCCCCGGCACGGCCGUGCGGCCAAUUCCUCGUGCCCUGGGCAGCGCGGCCUGCAAAGCCGGGGCUCGGCACUGCGGGGCUGGGGCUGCCGUGUGCCAGCGGGGCCAAAGCCUCGCAGGGCUCGGGGCACAGCCGGGCCCGCCAGGACACCGCUCCGGGGAUGCUCCCAGCCAGCUCCUGUCUGCUCCGCUGCUGUUGGGGUUCCGGGGUGGCCCUUUGUUAUGUGGGACGUGGUGGUGGCCAGAGACCCUUGUGACAUCAGGGAGUUCCACCCGGGCUGAGGGUCUCCAAGGGGCGCGGAGCCCUGGGUUGCCCAGUCCCAGGAGAGCCGCUCUCUGA